GCAGAGAGCCGGGCAACUUUAGAAAUGUUAUCUGAAAUGUCACAAUAAGGACUGAAUUAUCACCUGUGUACAUUCUGAACAAACGGUACACUCACAUUUGAGGCUAGGAUGACAAGCAACCUUCCAUCCUAAAUGCACUGUUUUACUGGCAGUAGAAAGAAAGAUAUGAAGGAGAUGGAAGGUAUAAAGGACAAGGAAAGAAGAGGGAUCGGCAAUGGGAGAAGACACAACUAUAACCCACAGAUUUUAAUCCCUUUGUAGUAUGUGACAUUGUUAUAGUAAAUAUUUCCUAAUAACAUAGGCCGUUAGGUUUCAUAUUAAGGUCUCUGUCUUUCAAGAAGUUCUGUGUGGGUGAAUCCCCAUGUUGUGCAGAGGUCUGUACUCUAAAUUGUCCAAGGCAAAAUACAACUCAUCCUGUUACGUAACAUCCUUAUAACAGUCAGCAAAAGUUAAAGGUAGAAAGACUGAAUUAGUUCUUGAGAUGAUUUGGGAGUCUGUCUGUGCAAUUUAUGAUUCUGUGUGAGAUUGUGAACUCUCUGGAUGUAUCUUUACUAAGCUGCAAAAUCCAUUUUGAAAUGUGAGGACUAGUUGCCUUCUCUGUGGUCUCUUUGUCUUUGCCUCUAUAUUAGACUCAGAUUCCAAGUUGUAGGGUAGAGGGCUGACCACAGAGGGUCAUUAAAUCGGGAUGAUCCUCUAUUCAAAUACAAACAUCCUACACAGUAGGUGGGCUCCCACCCAGAAGAACUGGUGUGUCAUCCCCCGCACCCCGAAGUUGCCUGGCCACAGAGUCACUUGGCAGGGGUCAGUGAUCACCUGUUGAGGCUGAUCAGGACAUCACCUAACAGAGGAACUAUAAAGCCAAGGGCUAAUCUAU